AACGAACGCUGGCGGCAUGCCUAACACAUGCAAGUCGAACGAGACCUUCGGGUCUAGUGGCGCACGGGUGCGUAACGCGUGGGAACCUGCCCUUAGGUUCGGAAUAACUCCCCGAAAGGGGUGCUAAUACCGGAUAAUGUCUUCGGACCAAAGAUUUAUCGCCUUUGGAUGGGCCCGCGUUGGAUUAGCUAGUUGGUAGGGUAAAAGCCUACCAAGGCGACGAUCCAUAGCUGGUCUGAGAGGAUGAUCAGCCACACUGGGACUGAGACACGGCCCAGACUCCUCCGGGGGGAAGCAGUGGGGAAUAUUGGACAAGGGGCGAAAGCCUGAUCCAGCAAUGCCGGGGGAGGGAUGAAGGCCUUAGGGUUGUAAAGCUCUUUUACCCGGGAUGAUAAUGACAGUACCGGGAGAAAAAGCCCCGGCUAACCCCGU
rnacentral:rRNA from 1 species